rnacentral:misc_RNA from 1 species
GGAUCAUUGCUGGAACGCGCUUCGGCGCACCCAGAAACCCUUUGUGAACUUAUACCUAUUGUUGCCUCGGCGUAGGCCGGCCUCUUCACUGAGGCCCCCUGGAAACAGGGAGCAGCCCGCCGGCGGCCAACCAAACUCUUGUUUCUACAGUGAAUCUCUGAGUAAAAAACAUAAAUGAAUCAAAACUUUCAACAACGGAUCUCUUGGUUCUGGCAUCGAUGAAGAACGCAGCGAAAUGCGAUAAGUAAUGUGAAUUGCAGAAUUCAGUGAAUCAUCGAAUCUUUGAACGCACAUUGCGCCCUCUGGUAUUCCGGAGGGCAUGCCUGUUCGAGCGUCAUUUCAACCCUCAAGCCUGGCUUGGUGAUGGGGCACUGCCUGUAAAAGGGCAGGCCCUGAAAUCUAGUGGCGAGCUCGCCAGGACCCCGAGCGUAGUAGUUAUAUCUCGCUCUGGAAGGCCCUGGCGGUGCCCUGCCGUUAAACCCCCAACUUCUGAAAAUUUGACCUCGGAUCAGGUAGGAAUA